rnacentral:rRNA from 1 species
UACGAAGGGGGCUAGCGUUGCUCGGAAUGACUGGGCGUAAAGGGCGCGUAGGCGGUUUGUACAGUCAGAUGUGAAAUUCCUGGGCUCAACCUGGGGGCUGCAUUUGAUACGUGCGGACUUGAGUGAGGAAGAGGGUCGUGGAAUUCCCAGUGUAGAGGUGAAAUUCGUAGAUAUUGGGAGGAACACCAGUGGCGAAGGCGGCGAUCUGGGAAGAUACUGACGCUGAGGUGCGAAAGCGUGGGGAGCAAACAGG